GCUGGAUGAUGUGUGUGUGAGUGCUGGAUGGUGUGUGUGUGAGUGCUGGAUGAUGUGUGUGUGUGUGCUGGAUGAUGUGUGUGUGAGUGCUGGAUGAUGUGUGUGUGUGUGCUGGAUGAUGUGUGUGUGUGUGUGCUGGAUGAUGUGUGUGUGUGUGUGCUGGAUGAUGUGUGUGUGGGUGCUGGAUGGUGUGUGUGUGUGUGCUGG